rnacentral:rRNA from 1 species
UGGGGAAUUUUUGGACAAUGGGGGCAACCCUGAUCCAGCCAUGCCGCGUGUGUGAAGAAGGCCUUCGGGUUGUAAAGCACUUUCGGUACGGAACGAAAUCGCGCGUGUUAAUAGCACGCGUGGAUGACGGUACCGUAAGAAGAAGCACCGGCUAACUACGUGCCAGCAGCCGCGGUAAUACGUAGGGUGCGAGCGUUAAUCGGAAUUACUGGGCGUAAAGUGUGCGCGGGCGGCGUCGCAAGUCGAGUGUGAAAGCCCGGGCUUAACUUGGGAAUUGCGCUCGAAACUACGAUGCUGGAGUAUGGCAGAGGAAGGUGGAAUUCCACGUGUAGCGGUGAAAUGCGUAGAGAUGUGGAGGAACACCGAUGGCGAAGGCAGCCUUCUGGGCCAAUACUGACGCUCAUGCACGAAAGCGUGGGGAGCAAACAGGAUUAGAUACCCUGGUAGUCCCACGCCCUAAACGAUGAUGACUAGGUUGUUGGAGGAGUUAAAUCCUUUAGUAAC